rnacentral:misc_RNA from 1 species
GAUGAAGAACGUAGUGAAAUGCGAUAAGUAAUGUGAAUUGCAGAAUUCAGUGAAUCAUCGAAUCUUUGAACGCAUCUUGCGCUCCUUGGUAUUCUGAGGAGCAUGCCUGUUUGAGUGUCAUUAAAUUCUCAACUACACUGACUUUGAAUUGGUGUGGCUUGGAUUUGGGGGGAAAAUUGUUGUGGGCUUUUUGUAUAGUCUGCUCCCCUGAAAUUGAUUAGCGGUACCUUUGUGGAACUGUCUACAGGUGUGAUAAUUAUCUACAUCUUAGACAUCUGCUGGAAUGCUGCUUUCUAAACCUUACUUGUAUUGACAAUCUUGACCUCAAAUCAGGUAGGACUACCCGCUGAACUUAAGCAUAUCAAUAAGCCGGAGGA